GUGCCAGCAGCCGCGGUAAUACGUAGGGCGCGAGCGUUGUCCGGAAUUAUUGGGCGUAAAGAGCUCGUAGGUGGCUUGUCGCGUCUGCCGUGAAAGGCCUGGGCUUAACUCGGGUUUUGCGGUGGAUACGGGCUGGCUAGAGGUAGGUAGGGGAGAACGGAAUUCCUGGUGUAGCGGUGAAAUGCGCAGAUAUCAGGAGGAACACCGGUGGCGAAGGCGGUUCUCUGGGCCUUACCUGACGCUGAGGAGCGAAAGCGUGGGGAGCGAACAGGAUUAGAAACCCUCGUAGUCC
rnacentral:rRNA from 1 species